GAGUUUGAUCCUGGCUCAGAACGAACGCUGGCGGCAGGCCUAACACAUGCAAGUCGAGCGCACCCUUCGGGGCGAGCGGCGGACGGGUUAGUAACGCGUGGGAACGUACCCAGAUCUAAGGAAUAGCCUCGGGAAACUGAGAGUAAUACCUUAUACGCCCUUCGGGGGAAAGAUUUAUCGGAUUUGGAUCGGCCCGCGUUAGAUUAGAUAGUUGGUGGGGUAAUGGCCUACCAAGUCUACGAUCUAUAGCUGGUUUUAGAGGAUGAUCAGCAACACUGGGACUGAGACACGGCCCAGACUCCUACGGGAGGCAGCAGUGGGGAAUCUUAGACAAUGGGCGCAAGCCUGAUCUAGCCAUGCCGCGUGUGUGAUGAAGGCCCUAGGGUCGUAAAGCACUUUCGCCAGGGAUGAUAAUGACAGUACCUGGUAAAGAAACCCCGGCUAACUCCGUGCCAGCAGCCGCGGUAAUACGGAGGGGGUUAGCGUUGUUCGGAAUUACUGGGCGUAAAGCGUACGUAGGCGGAUUAGUCAGUCAGAGGUGAAAUCCCAGGGCUCAACCCUGGAACUGCCUUUGAUACUGCUAGUCUUGAGUUCGAGAGAGGUGAGUGGAAUUCCAAGUGUAGAGGUGAAAU
rnacentral:rRNA from 1 species